rnacentral:rRNA from 1 species
GACGAACGCUGGCGGCGUGCUUAACACAUGCAAGUCGAACGGAAAGGCCCUGCUUUUGUGGGGUGCUCGAGUGGCGAACGGGUGAGUAACACGUGAGUAACCUGCCCUUGACUUUGGGAUAACUUCAGGAAACUGGGGCUAAUACCGGAUAUGAGCUCCUGCUGCAUGGUGGGGGUUGGAAAGUUUCGGCGGUUGGGGAUGGACUCGCGGCUUAUCAGCUUGUUGGUGGGGUAGUGGCUUACCAAGGCUUUGACGGGUAGCCGGCCUGAGAGGGUGAACGGCCACAUUGGGACUGAGAUACGGCCCAGACUCCUACGGGAGGCAGCAGUGGGGAAUAUUGCACAAUGGGCGGAAGCCUGAUGCAGCAACGCCGCGUGCGGGAUGACGGCCUUCGGGUUGUAAACCGCUUUCGCCUGUGACGAAGCGUGAGUGACGGUAAUGGGUAAAGAAGCACCGGCUAACUACGUG